UACAGAGGGUGCGAGCGUUAAUCGGAAUUACUGGGCGUAAAGCGUACGUAGGCGGCUUUGUAAGUUAGAGGUGAAAGCCCGGGGCUCAACUCCGGAAUUGCCUUUAAGACUGCAUCGCUAGAAUUGUGGAGAGGUGAGUGGAAUUCCGAGUGUAGAGGUGAAAUUCGUAGAUAUUCGGAAGAACACCAGUGGCGAAGGCGACUCACUGGACACAUAUUGACGCUGAGGUGCGAAAGCGUGGGGAGCAAACAGG
rnacentral:rRNA from 1 species